AGCGGGGAAGCGUUUCGAGACCGUUCAUAAAGGGAAAGCUCCAAAGGAGUGAUUUUGGAGCGCGUGUGAUCGACCUACAGGUCCGGGCACUAGUAGCCAGCGUUGAUCGAGCUUGGAGCAGACUGAUCCGGAGACGGGAGUGAGCACACGACGUUUUGUACUAUUUCAGUCUCCAUCUGUAUAUAUAGACUUGUCUUUUACCUUUCGAGACAGUCCAGUCUCUGUUGUCCACUUUUGGGACUUGUACUCAUUUUGUUAGUAGCUCUGUACUAGUGACUUCCAGGUUCUGGGAGGGAUCUUUAUUUGUAUAUAUGUUUUUGGUUUGCUUCCGCCUGUUUA